ensembl:lncRNA
UUUUUUUUUUUUUUUUUUCUUCUCUGCCUCACUUUUCUAGCUCAUUUCCUUCUAUAUCUUCCACUGGCUCAGUUUGCCUGAGCCCUCUGCAUUUGGCACUAAAUCGUAGUUUAUUUUAAUCCUUUGCCUGGAAGCUGAUGCUGGUAACCAGAUGGCAAUAAAAAGACACUGAAUGCAACAUUUAUACCUGUGAGUUGAGAGACAAUACUCGUUACUUCCUGGGAAAACAGUUGGUGUUUUUCUCAGUUGGGGUAAAAUGCUAUUUCCAAAAAUCCUAUUGUUUUCUUACUUGGAAAAAUGUUAAAAUAUAUUUAUUAGAAAGUAUGCUUUUAAAUAUUUUUUAGUCUAAAGAAAUAUUGCUGCUUCUCAGAGUUUUGGCAAAUAUUGCUUUUCAUUUGUUCUUCUUUUCCUGUCUCUUCUUUCUUUUCACUCUCUUACCAUCUAUAGAUUUAAAUUACAUGUCAUUUUAUUAUUGUUCACUGUAUUAAUUAAACUCGCUUUUUAUGUUAGUUCAAAAAGAUGGAUGUGUGGAGUAUUUUAAAUUUGGCUCUUAAAAAAAGCACAGUAUAUUACAGAUUAGAAAGUUAUUAUUUUUUCUGACAUCCAGCAAGCACCAUUUCUCUGUUCUUAAGCUAUCUGACAGCUUGGGGACAGAUACGAGCCUUUGAUACAAACUGGGCCAGAGUAUUCUUUCCUGAGACUUUUCAAACUAAAGCUAGAAGAGAGGUGCCCCCUGUAUUAGUCAGCUACUGCUGCGUAACAAAGAACUAUAAAAUCAGAGUCACUUAAAACAGUGAGCAUUUAUUUACUUCACAUCUCUUCAGGUCUACUGAGUGGGCUCCACUGAUCUCAGCAGGCCUGCUCAUAUGUCUUUAGGCUGGCAGUGGGUGGUUUGAUUUAAGGAUGUCUCUAGUCCCCACUGCAUGUUUGCACAUCUGUUACCUAUGUCUUUGCUAUGGUUUGGAUACUUGAACCUUCCAAGUAUCAUGUUGAAAUUUGAUCCUCAAUGUUGGAGGCAGGGCCUGGUGGGAGGUGUUUGGGUCCUGAGGGAGGAUCCCUCAUAAAUGGCUUGGUGCCAUUCUUGUGGGGAUGCGUGAGUUCUCGUGAGAGCUGGGUUUUGAAAAGAGCUUGGCACCUCCUCCUCUUUCUGUCUCUUGCUUCCUCUCUCACCACGUGGCUCCCCUUCACCUUCCACAAUGAGUGGAAGCAGCCUGAAGCCCCCAUCAAAAUGAGAUAGAUACCAGUGCCAUGCCUGUACAACCUGCAGAACUGUGACCCAAAUAAACUUUUUUCCUUUAUAAACUGCCCAGCCACAGGCAUCUUUUUUCUUUCUUUCUUUUUUAUCUAGAGAGAUGCAGUGGAAGACAGGAUGGGAGAGGGUCCCGAUCAUUUUCUAGUUAUUAAUAACAUCUUUGGCUGUACUUAGAUGGCUGCACUUGGGAGGUUUGGUUAAUCAUCUUUUUUUUUUUUUGUUUACUAUGAGGUAGGCUACUCCACAACCCCUCCAAACUCUUCUUUCUUGCAUUAAUUAGUAUAAAUUGCAUUUCUGCUACUUGCAACCAAAGGGUUAUGACCCAUAUAUACUAUUUCUUCUAGAUCAGAGGGGGUUUUUAUAUCAAAAGUCGCUGUCCCUAUCCCAAUGCAAAGCUUUUUAAGUUGAUUUUUAGGAGGAUAAAAUCUUUCAUAUUGGAAAUAAACAUUAUCACCUAUAUUUCACAGGUUAUUAGUUUAUUAAGUUAAACAGAACGACAUAGUUUCAAAUAAAAGUGUUACUGAAUUUGCAGUAAAAAUUACACAUAAUUAGCAUAAAUUAGAAAAGGUAUAUAAAAUGGUUGGCACAAGGCAAUAACAUCCCUACUUUUAACCCAUGAAUUUUAUCCCUAGGAAUUUACCUCAAUAAAGUAAUCUAACAGAUGCAAAUGCUCAUAUGCAUGAAACAAUUUAUGACAACUGUCAUAAUAAUAAAUUAAAGGGACAUAUCUAAAUUAAGAGAAUGCUUUAACAAAUUAUGUUAGUUUAUCAGGAUGGAAUAUUAUGUAGUCUUUAACUAUGUUAAUUAUAGUUAAUUAAGAAAAUUAUAUAAAAUUUCAAAAUUUGUUUAUGACAUGGUACGUGAAAAAGCAAAACAAAACGCAAAAUUACAUGGACAUCCAGACUGUGUAUAUGUGGUCACUCUCACUUUAUACAUGCAAACACACACAACACACACAAACCCACACAACCAUUUUCUUUUUGUGUGCAGUAGACCAAAAAAAAAAAAAAAACAUUUCAAAUCUACCUGUUAUUUUCUCUUGUUCAGCUAGGAGACAUACAUCAUCUUUGAUUAAAAGUAUUCUUCACUGGGUUAUUUAUGCAAAGCCAAAAUUCUAUUCUAGACUCAAGAAGCUCGAGCCAGACAUCCUGAACAGCUCUGAAUAAAAUUAUCAAAGGCUGAAUUUGUCAUGUGCAGAAUUGCAUCUUUGCAGGAUUAUGAUGCUGUUGCCUGUGGGUGAGGAUGUGAUGGAUAACACCCUUACUUGCAGUGAGGGUAAGGGGAGUUGGAGAAGGUAACCUGGGGACUGGUGGCUCAUGGUAAUUGAUGGACUAGGGGAGGCCACAUAGAGAGGAAGCCAGUGGAGAGGCAUGGCUGAUGGACUCAACUCCAAGAGCAGUGAUAGUUCAUAUCCAGUACUGUAUUUUUCUUUCUCUCCAUUAUAAUUCCCUCAUUAUUCUCAAGCCUCCAGGAAAUUGUCUUAAAUGUUUAUCCAGAUAUUUGCUAUACUUUUGGAAAUUAAGGGAGGAGCCUACAACUCUCCUUGCAUAAAACAAGAGUCUGUCUUGCGUGAAAAAGUGAUAAGAAGAUAUUCAGUAGAGAUCUGAGGGGAAAUCUCGGAGCAGAGGUCCAGAAUAAGUUAAGUGUGGACUGCAUAAGAAUUCCAUUGGUAUGGGAGACUGUAUUUCUGUUUGCCAAAUAUUUUACUUUUCCUCCAUCUUUUGCCAUGGAAGGAGUUUACUCUUCAACUCUGCCAGACUCAAGAGAGGCCAUGUGAUUUGCUGUGGCUGAUGAAAUGGGAGCAGCAAAAACGUGUUAUCAUUUCUGGGAACCAGUGCACUGUUCUCUUUGUCUCCCUUCUCUCACCCUGGGCCUGAUAAUGUUCCAGCUGGAUGCUGCUCUAUCAUCGUGGAACCUAGAGUGAAGUUUGGGGAAAGCAUCAAAGCCAGAGCCAACUUUCAUUCAACAUGUUGUGAUGGUUAAUUUUGUGUGUCAACUUGACUGGAUCAUGGAGUGGCCAGAUAUUUGGCUAAGCUUUUCUGGGUGUCUGUGAUGGUGUUUCCAGAUGAGAUUUGCAUUUUAGUCAGUGGACUCCAUAAGACAGAUUUUUCUUCCCUGAAUGGAAGGGUAUUAGCCAAUUUGUUGAGAGCCUGAACCGAACAAAAGGUGGAGGAAGGAGAAUUCAUCUCCUCUGCCUGACUGUUUGAGCUGGGAUAUCAGUCUCCUUCUGCCCUCAAACUGAGACUUAACAUCAUCAGCUCCACUUGUUCUCAGGCCUCGAGUCUGAAACCAAACUACACCAUCAGCUUUCCUGGUUCUGCAGCUUGCAGAUGGCAGAGCAUGGGACUUAGCCUUCGUAAUCAAGUGAGCUAAUUCCUCAGAAUACAUCCAUCUGUGUUAGUCCAUUCUCACACUGCUAUGAAGAAAUACCUGAGAUGAGGUAAUUUAUAAAGGAAAGAGGCUUAAUUGACUCACAGUUCUGCAUGGCUGGGGAGGCCACAGGAAACUUACAAUCAUGGCGGAAGGUAAAGGGGAAGCAGGCACCUUCUUCACAAGGGCGGCAGGAUAGAGUGAGUGCAAGCUGGGGAAAUGCCAGGCACUUAUAAAACCAUCAGAUAUCAUGAGAACUCACUAUCACAAGAACAGCAUGGGGGAACCGCACCCAUGAUCCAAUUACCUCCACCUGGUCCUGACCUUGACACAUGGGGAUUGUGGUGAUUACAGUUUCAGGUGGGAUUUGGGUGGGGACACAGAGCCAAACCAUAUCACUAUCUCUCCCCCUUAUCCCCCCUCUCUGUUAAAUCCUUUAUUGGUUCUAUUUCUCUGGAAAACCCUAAAUACUGUGGGAAAGAAGUAACCCUUUGUGUUGUAAGCUGCUGAGACUUUGGGGUUAUUUGUUACUAUAGCAUGAUCUGGCCUAUUCUAAUUUAUACAAUGGGAUUUUUUUUUUUUUUCUACAAACACUAAGGAAGUAGCAGGUGGAAGGCUGGACCUUAUGUUGCCAUCAGGAGGGGGGUUUCUAUGGUAUGAAGACCUAUGAGCCUUUUGGGUUACUCUUUGACUUGCACUUGGGUGUUGAUGUUGAUGCCAAGCAGUAUAUUUAUACUCCUCUAAAAUGUGUUUUUCUCUCUUUAAAUGGUGUUUUGUUAACUUUCACCAGCUCGUCUCAACUUUUGCCUCUAAUUUUUCCCAUAAUAUUCACUAACUCUAGUGAUAGCUGUCUAUGCACAUUGUACUGACACUAAUUCAGAGAGUGUGUUGGAUGAAUUUUGAUUUGAUUUGUAUGUAACGGUCAAAAACUGUAUUUGAGAAAACAGUUGCAUCCUUGGCAAAACCUGGAAGUCUCUAUGUUAACAGUUUUCCCAAUUUUUAUUUUAGGAAGCCAUUCUGCAUAUUAUGUUUUUAAAUAAAAGGAUUUGACUUUAGGCUGACAAUUUAGCAUUUAACCGCUGUCUCCGUGCCAAUUCCACAAGAGCAGGGAUCUAGAUUAAUUAGAGAAAGCUCAUUGGUUUCUGAUGGAGGGGGCAUUCAUAGAAACAACCCGCUGACAACUAAGGAACUACUGCGAUGGGAUGGGCAGCCUGCAGCUUCACUCGGCGGGCAGCCUCCACAGGUACUUUAAUUCCUCGCUCUUCUGGCCAGGUGUCUCUUGGUAAAGGCAGGUAGAGGAAGCAAAGCAAUUACCUAGAUAAUUAAGGAAAAACAAACCUGUAUGUGGCAAUCAAGGAAAAACAAACCUGUCUGUGGCAGGUAACUUGGGGAGCUGCUUCUAAUUUUCUAGGCAACUAUUUUCAUUCUUCACUUCCCUGGUGUCAGCAGGAAUCUGAGCUAGAUCCCAAGAGCAACUUGAACAAUGACAAUGGUCUCAGUUGGCAAACCUGGCCUCACAGGAGCUUCCCUCCUCAUUGAUCUAGAGUUUGAAAUGGCUUUGUCAGAUCUCAGGGGCGUGCUCCUACUGAUUUACGGCAAAAUCCCAAUAACAGCUGUGAAAAUGUUUAUCCAUUUGUGAAACUUCAGAAAGCGGGUCUAGCAUAUCAUUCUUUCUGGUGAUUCUGGGGCAAGGUGAGAACUGUACCCUCACAGGCCGGGUGAGUAAGAUUCUAGUUGUGGUGGAGGCCAAGGAAGAAGACGUACUAUUUGUCAAUCUCUCUAGGAGGCAUUUGCUGAACCUUCCCCUCCUAUACCUUCCUACAAGGCAGCUCCGACGACUUCUACUUUACAGAUGAGAAGAUGGAGCCUCCACAAGGCACACAGCUGGUGAGUGACAAAACCAGAAUUCAAACCCAGGUCCAUUUGAUUGUGACAUUUGUUUCCACUACCCUAGUGGCUCUGGGAGAAGGCAGGACCCCUAUAUUUCUGUAAAGUCCCACAGUUGUUUCUAGUGUCAUCCGGGUUGGAAGCUGUACGUUAAGUCAGUGGUUCUCAGACUUUAGCAUGUGUUAGUAUUUCCUGUUACGCUUGUAAAAACACAGACUGCAGGCCCCACACUUAGAUUUCGGACUCGGUAGGUAGGUCUGAGUUGGGACCCAGAAAUUUGCAUUUCUAACAAGUUCUGAAGUGAUGCUGAUGUAGGGGGCCUGGGCACUACACUGUGGGAACCACCACUGCUGCAUUAAGGUGAACUCAGAGCUGAAUCUGACGUGCAAAUCUACGUUAAUGGAGAUGACAUCAGAUAUCUGCAAAGUCACUUAAUAGAAUGGUUGAGACUAAGUCUUGAAUAAUAUUAAAACUAACACAUCUAAAAAGACUAUGCCCAUCACAGGUGGAUGGUCAGAAUAGAAGCAUUACAUAAUGGGGUAGAAAAUGUAGCUGAUGCUAUUCAUCUGGAAGGAAGAAGUGAUGUAAGGGUCAGUUUUCACCUUUGCUUUGAAUUCCCUGGACAGCAAGCAAUCAUAUGAGCAUUAAUUUGAUUUAUUUUUUCAGGUGUCAUAUCUGAUUUCAGAUACAUAAAACGGUCUCAAGUGUGUUUUUCACGACCACCACUUUGUAGUCCUGUUGAUGCCGCUGCUGUUGAAGUCUAUGUGAAUGGCGCCCCCUGGUGGAAUGGAAAAGGUAGUGUAUUACAGUCGUCGUAAAUGAAUGACCUAGGGUUGUUAUCAUGCUCAGCUGGUAGAGACCACUCCAUUCACCUUAAACUAGCGAGCCUGAGGACCAGUCCCGGGGAACCAUGAGAGCGUGAUCUCCCAGAGCCCUGCCCUUGAGAAGGGUUCUCCUCAGCAAUACUCCAACUGACCCCAGACCUAAAAAUUCUUAAAUUGUGAAAACGGUAGAAGAUGGUUAGCAAAUCCAUAUGCUAUCAUGAUAUAUAUCUUUCUUCUUAGUUCCAUGGGAUGAAAUGAUGCCAAGAUUUGACUUACAGAGUAGGGAUUGUGACUGAAGCCUUUGGACAGGUAUUUAGGCCCUUUUUAGUGUCCCCUCUUGUCUAGAGAAUGGGACGCCAGGAAUGUCAGAUGCUUUUCAGCCUCUCCCCUGCUCUUACGCCUAGAAACAGGAGCCCCACAAAGGUCUGUCAUUCCUCAGGGCUGACGAAAAGCCCUGUGGCUCAAUGGCCAGAAGCAUGUCUUUGUGGCCAAGUAAGAAGUGUCUUGGUUUGAACUCUUUGGUCUAGAGACAGAUUCUUCUACCAGUGGUGUAAAACCCUAAAGAGGCUCUGCAUAAGACCUACCAAUGCCCUGUGUCUCAUGACACCCUGCCCCCACCACUGGAAGGCCACGCCAUCCUGCUUCUCUGUGAUCUGCAAGUUUCCCAGCAACACCUGGAUUCGAAGCUCAAGUCCACCACUUAAUAGCUAUGGACCUAAUGUAUCAGAUGUUAUAAGGAUUACAGAGAAAGAGGUAUAGAUAAAGCUGGUAGCAAUGACUGACACAUCUUUACAUUACAUAAUUCUGACAUGCAUUAUUAUUGUAGUUUUCUGUUAUUCAGACAUACUUGUUAAGAAGGCGCUGGGGACAAUUUGUACAUGCUGGGUAUAAAAGGGCUUGGAAAGUAUUUCACGAAUGGAGUUAGCAUUGAGGAGUCCAAUCCAUGUACAAUGGGUAGAAUUAGAGAGGCAUUGAGGGUAGUUUAUUAGUCUGUUUUCAAACUGCUGAUAAAGACAUACCUGAGAGUGGGUAAUUUAUAAAGAAAGAAGAGGUUUAAUGGCCUCGCAGUUCCAUGAGGUUGGGGAGGCUUCACAAUCAUGGCAGAAGGUGAAAGGCACAUCUUACAUGGCAGCAGCCAAGAAAGAAUGAGAGCCAAGCAAAAGGGGAAACCCCUUAUGAAACUCUCAGAUCUUGUGAGACUUAUUCACUACCAUGAGAACAGUAUGGAGGAAACUGCUUCUUUGAUUCAAUUAUCUUCCACCAGGUCCCUCCCACAACACAUGGGAAUUAUGGGAGCUACAAUUCAAGAUGAGAUUUGGGUGGGGACACAGCCAAACCAUAUCAGGUGGUUACAUAAGAGAGUCAGUAGAGAGGUACGAACUCCAGAGGAGAUAACUCACCUGGAAAGUAGGCAAUCAGGAAUAUAAGAUCCCAGUACAAUAAUAAUAAUAAAAAAAAAAAAAAAAA